rnacentral:rRNA from 1 species
GUGGGGAAUUUUGGACAAUGGGCGCAAGCCUGAUCCAGCAAUGCCGCGUGCAGGAAGAAGGCCUUCGGGUUGUAAACUGCUUUUGUACGGAACGAAACGGUCCUGGCUAAUAUCCGGGGCUAAUGACGGUACCGUAAGAAUAAGCACCGGCUAACUACGUGCCAGCAGCCGCGGUAAUACGUAGGGUGCGAGCGUUACUCGGAAUUACUGGGCGUAAAGCGUGCGCAGGCGGUGCUGUAAGACAGGCGUGAAAUCCCCGGGCUCAACCUGGGAAUUGCGCUUGUGACUGCAGUGCUGGAGUGCGGCAGAGGGGGAUGGAAUUCCGCGUGUAGCAGUGAAAUGCGUAGAUAUGCGGAGGAACACCGAUGGCGAAGGCAAUCCCCUGGGCCUGCACUGACGCUCAUGCACGAAAGCGUGGGGAGCAAACAGGAUUAGAAACCCUAGUAGUCC